UACGUAGGGCGCAAGCGUUGUCCGGAAUUAUUGGGCGUAAAGAGCUCGUAGGCGGCUUGUCACGUCGGGUGUGAAAGCCCGGGGCUUAACCCCGGGUCUGCAUUCGAUACGGGCUGGCUAGAGUGUGGUAGGGGAGAUCGGAAUUCCUGGUGUAGCGGUGAAAUGCGCAGAUAUCAGGAGGAACACCGGUGGCGAAGGCGGGUCUCUGGGCCGAUAUUGACGCUGAGGAGCGAAAGCGUGGGGAGCGAACAGG
rnacentral:rRNA from 1 species